rnacentral:rRNA from 1 species
GUAACAGGUGUCACCUGCAAGUAGUACUGGGAUAACUCCGGGAAACCGGGGCUAAUACCGGAUGGUUGUUUGAACCGCAUGGUUCAAACAUAAAAGGUGGCUUCGGCUACCACUUACAGAUGGACCCGCGGCGCAUUAGCUAGUUGGUGAGGUAACGGCUCACCAAGGCAACGAUGCGUAGCCGACCUGAGAGGGUGAUCGGCCACACUGGGACUGAGACACGGCCCAGACUCCUACGGGAGGCAGCAGUAGGGAAUCUUCCGCAAUGGACGAAAGUCUGACGGAGCAACGCCGCGUGAGUGAUGAAGGUUUUCGGAUCGUAAAGCUCUGUUGUUAGGGAAGAACAAGUACCGUUCGAAUAGGGCGGUACCUUGACGGUACCUAACCAGAAAGCCACGGCUAACUACGUGCCAGCAGCCGCGGUAAUACGUAGGUGGCAAGCGUUGUCCGGAAUUAUUGGGCGUAAAGGGCUCGCAGGCGGUUUCUUAAGUCUGAUGUGAAAGCCCCCGGCUCAACCGGGGAGGGUCAUUGGAAACUGGGGAACUUGAGUGCAGAAGAGGAGAGUGGAAUUCCACGUGUAGCGGUGAAAUGCGUAGAGAUGUGGAGGAACACCAGUGGCGAAGGCGACUCUCUGGUCUGUAACUGACGCUGAGGAGCGAAAGCGUGGGGAGCGAACAGGAUUAGAUACCCUGGUAGUCCACGCCGUAAACAAUGACUGCUAAGUGUUAGGGGGGUUUCCGCCCCUUAGUGCUGCAGCUAACGCAUUAAGCUCUCCGCCCGGGGAGUACGGUCGCAAGACUGGAACCUCAAAGGAAUUUGACGGGGGGCCCGCACAAACGGUGGGAGCUGGUUGUUUUAUUUCAAAACCACCCGGAAGAACCCUUACCA